UACUUGAAUGUACGUUACAGUUCUAGAUUCCACAGGAUCUUUUUUCGUUUUUUUUUGGGUUCAAUGAUCGUUAUCCAAGUUCAGUCCCUUCAAAACCCGGCGCUCUUUUCGCUCUCUAGCUUUGUUUGCUUCUUGUCUGUGCAUCAACUACUUUACCUGUCAUGAAAACCACCAUCUCCUCCUUUAGAUUGUAAUUGGAAGUUUAAGGAAGAAGUAUGGCGUUGGCCGCAAACUCAGUCUGUUUAUCUCAUGAAGAAAGUUUCAGUAAUUCAUCAUACAUCGGAUUAGGAAUUGCAAGUGAUGAAAGAUUUCACGGGAUAAAGGGACUUCAUUUUCACAGUAUAGUUGUGUUGAAAUUUUGACCCAAUAGCAGAAAAUCAAGAUAUGUUCAAUUGGUAAGAACUCCUAGGAAUUAUCAUGGACUUGAAGUUUGAUGCUCACAUCGAUUCCUAGGCUGGACAAAGAAGUUCUCCUCAUUGUGUGCCACUGGUGCAAGUUUAACUAAGGCAAAAGAAGUGCCUAUUUUUCUAAUGGUGAGUGUAGCCAACGACCUAAGAGAAAGAAGCUACUUUCAGUUCUUGAAAGUUGCCAGCAUACUAGCAUGCGCAUUAUUGGUCAUUCCAUCAGCUGAUGCUGUUGAUGCCCUGAAAACGUAUACCUGCUUAUUGAAGGAGUGCAGGUUAGAAUUGGCUAAGUGCAUUGCAAACCCAGCAUGUGCCGCCAAUAUCGCUUGCCUUCAGACAUGCAAUAACUGGCCUGAUGAGACUGAAUGCCAGAUCGAAUGUGGGGACCUGUUCGAAAAUAGUGUUGUUGACGAACUCAAUGAGUGUGCAGUCUCAAGAAAGAAGUGCGUACCUCGGAAAUCUGAUGUCGGGGAAUUUCCUGUCCCUGAUCCAGCUGUUCUGGUCAAGAGCUUUAAUAUCGCAGUCGCAGAUUUUAAUGGGAAGUGGUAUAUUACCAGUGGCUUAAAUCCUACCUUUGAUACUUUUGACUGCCAAUUGCAUGAAUUCCAUACAGAAUCUAAUAAACUUGUGGGGAAUUUAUCAUGGAGAAUACGGACUCCAGAUAGUGGCUUCUUCACUUGAUCAACUGUGCAGAGGUUUGUUCAAGAUCCCAUGCAGCCUGGAAUACUCUACAAUCACGAUAAUGAGUACCUUCACUAUCAAGACAAUUGGUAUGACAUCUGAUAAAAUGCACGGACCUUCAUGACUCAUGACAUGCAACCCCAGCAACACCUUGUCAACAAAGAAUAACGAAGCUACUUGACUAUCUUAAUCCAGGCAGCCUUGUCGAUAGUCUUUAACUAGUUAUAAAAUAAUCAACCGAGUGAUUUUUCUCCUGCAGCUUUGAGUACCAUGAUUGUUCAAUUUGCUGAACUAGGCCGGAACAAUUAACCAGUAUCAUAUAUGGAUCCAGGUAUAUUCUUUCAUCCAAUGUAGAAAAUAAGAACAAUGAUUACAUAUUUGUCUACUACCAGGACAGGAAUGAUGCUUGGGAGGUACCUGAACUGGAAAGAGCAGCUAAAAGCAUAGGACGAGAUUUCAACAAGUUUAUUAGAACAGAUAAUACUUGUGGGCCUGAACCUCCACUUGUUGAGAGACUGGAGAAGACAAUAGAGGAAGGAGGGGAAGGUAGAGAAGGUGGGGAAGACUGAAAUGACAUUGUUUCAGAGAUUAGCCGAAGGGUUUAAAGUGCUCCAGCAAGAUGAGGAAAUUUUCCUGAGAGGUUUAAGUAGAGAAGAGGUGGAAUAUUAAAGGGUCUAAAAAUGAAAACUAGUGAGGUGGAAGAACUCUUUGGACGAGCACUGCCAUUAAGGGAAUUAAGAUAGAAUUCAUCUUUGGAAAUUAUUUUGCAUUUUUGCUUUUCAGUCUCCCAUAAAAAGAAAUCCAUAAUUCAGUUGUUUUUUUCA